rnacentral:rRNA from 1 species
UCAAACGAGAGUUUGAUCCUGGCUCAGAAUCAACGCUGGCGGCGUGCCUAACACAUGCAAGUCGAACGAGAAAGGGGUAGCAAUACCCUGAGUAAAGUGGCGCACGGGUGAGUAACACGUGACUAACCUACCCUGGAGUGGGGGAUAACUGAGGGAAACCUUAGCUAAUACCGCAUAAUACCCACGGGUCAAAGGAGCAAUUCGCUUUGGGAGGGGGUCGCGGCCGAUUAGUUAGUUGGCGGGGUAACGGCCCACCAAGACGAUGAUCGGUAUCCGGCCUGAGAGGGCGCACGGACACACUGGAACUGAAACACGGUCCAGACUCCUACGGGAGGCAGCAGUGGGGAAUUUUGCGCAAUGGGGGAAACCCUGACGCAGCAACGCCGCGU